AUGCAUUUUUUCUGUAUAUUUCACACUUAUAUCUCUGCAUGUGAAGAUGGGUUACACAGCGCUGGACUCGAUACACUGCACAUAUGGGUGAAUUGAGAGGCCCACCGGUACCAUCACAGCAUGAUCACCACUGCUGAAAUCAGGUGCAGAACCAAACUGAUAUCAUUUAGAGCAGAGACACCUGAAGACCAGUGGCACAUAGGCUCUCUCUGUGACAGAUACUGAGGAGUUACACAGUGCCUGAAUAUAACACUAUAUGAAUUUUAUGAAGGAAGGACAAUGUGAUGUGCAGAAGUACCAUUUCUCUCUUCUGACCAACCAAAGUUGCUGGAAGUACUUCGUUGUUGUUUUUGCUUGAAAUCUGUGUGCAAAAAGCAGUUUUCUAGAGAUUGUUCUCAGAGGUUGAAAUUAUCGUAAUCAUAGAAGGAGUCUCCCCUCAGAGUGAGAAAGCAUUGUGAGUACAGUUGGACGUGCAGCUGGCCAAUCCUUCCCUUGAUUUUGAAUUCUGCAACACACUGAUAGAAAGAAAGAAAGAAAGAAAGAAAGAAAGAAAGAAAGAAAGAAAGAAAGAAAGAAAGAAAGAAAGAAAGAAAGAAAGAAAGAAAGAAAGAAAGAAAGAAAGAAAGAAAGAAAGAAAGAAGGUCGUUUUAGAAUGGCAGGGCUAGAAGGGACCCUAUGAAUCAAGUACAUCCACUCAAGGAGGCACACUGGGACAUUGAACUCCCAACCUCCAGCUCUACAUAUACUACUAAACUGGCAGUCCUCGGGUUUAUUCUCUGAGUACAGAACCGUGAAAGCAGAAGUUGGAAAUGGAGAUACUUCCACUCUUUAUGAAGUUGGUAAGAGGAGAAAGCCAAGAAAUAUAUACCGGGUCUCAUCUUGAAUUGUUUUGAUGUUAAGAAAGCAUCCAUGAUUCAUUCAGCAGGGUGGGUCUGACUCAAGGUCUACCUUAUUGUGUACUUCAUGUCUCUAAAAGCUAACACAUUACAGAGAAAAGGGUGCCAAGUCAACACAAAGGGGAGGUGAAGGACUGAUGAGAAAAAAACAAGAUGUAUUCAUAUUUCUUAAUAGUUCUGUGCAAACUCUCCAAAAGCUCAAAUGAGAUAUGGACUGUUUUAAAUGAGGAGGCUCCCUCAUUGUUUGCAAA
rnacentral:lncRNA from 1 species